UGAGCAGCAGCUGUCAGUCCGGCGAUCUCAAGAUGAAGUCACACACUCUGCUCAUCUGGGUGCUAGUCUUUUUUAUGAAGGAUGCCAGCGGGCAGAUUGUGAUGACCCAGACUCCAGAAUCCCUCUCAGUGUCUCCAGGAGACAGAGUUACCAUCAACUGCAAAGCCAGUACAAGCAUCAGCAGCAACAUAGCCUGGUACCAACAGAAAUCAGGACAAACUCCUAAGCUUUUGUUCUAUGGUUCUUCCUCCCGUCCCUCUGGGGUCCCAGACCGGUUCAGCGGCAGUGGGUCGGGCACUGACUACACAUUCACCAUCAGCAGGGUUGAAGCAGAUGAUGCUGGAGAUUAUUAUUGUCAGCAGUAUAACAGCAACCCUCUCACAGUGAUACAGACCAGCACAAAAACCUCCCCGUUCUGUUUAGUUUCAGACUUUCACUCAAUGUUUCAGCUGCUUCCUGUGCAGCAUCCUUACAGCGUUGCCUCUGCUGCCCUGCACUGGGGUAGCUGAGUGAGACAGACUUUGGUCACCUCCCUCCACACUCAAGAACUUCCAGUCCUUUCAGAAGCUCACACCAGGCGUCCAGCACUCUUUACUCACCAGUUGCUCCCCAACCACUAACAUGGAUUUGCUCUUCUGAGUUGCAUCCAACUUCCUACUGACACCAGGUUAUAAUCCAAGCAAUUUUCUACAGAGCUGAUGAAAUGGAAGGAGAACUACACCCCAGCUUCCUAAAGCAGCCACACUGGAAAACUGCAACAGUCUAAUCCAGACAAACUGUGCUCAGAGUAAAAGACACUAGCUGAUCCAGGCUCUUCAGUUCAGUUAGUUGUGCUCAUUAAAACAUGUUUGGUAUAUGGAAUCAUCCAAACAUCUGUUAUUCCUGCUUUGGCAUCAUAUUAGUGGACUAGAGUCCAAUAGUUCAGAGAAGAGAGCUAGAACCUCAGUUCUUUUUUGAGUUCUACAUAAAAGUGCAGCACGUUUGAUACAAUUGAUGUAAAAAUAUUAAAGCGGUGCAGGGAAGUAAGACGGGCUGUUUCCUAAGGGCCAGAAACAACAUUUGAUUCUAGAAUUGA